rnacentral:snRNA from 1 species
ACUUCCUUGUGUGGUAUAAAAUUGGAAUUAUCUAGAGAAGAUUAACAUGGCCUCUGCAUAAAUGUAACAUGCACAAGUCAAGAAAUGGUCGAAAAAAUU